rnacentral:lncRNA from 1 species
AUGUCCCCGCGGGCUCGGCAGGCGCCCCCUCCCGUCCCGCCCGCUCCCGGCGCGGACCCCCCUCUCCGCCCCCGCCCGGCUCCGGGCUCAAGUUCAAGUCUAUACAAUGCCACGGGGGGCCCCUCCACCGCCGGCCUCCGCCGCGGUGCCCGGCUCGGCGCUGCCGCAGGGGCCGCGGCCGGGCCACCCCCGCCUUCCGGGCUCUGCCCCCGCCCCGUGGCCCCGCCUGGAGCCCGCGGCCAGGGCGCCGGAGGGCGCAGACCCCGACCCAGAAGGAUCGGCCCCCGCGGCGGCCCGGGGGAGCGGGGGAGGGGGCGGGGGCCGGGCCCCGCGCAGGCUCCGCGGCGGCGGCAGAAAAUGGCAGCCUGGCACGACCCGGCCCCCCGCCCCUCCCCCCGGCGCCCGGCCCUCCUCGGCCCCGCGAGGCGGGGGACCCGGGAGGCCCCCGGGGGCGGGCCGAGGGGUGAUUGCCGGGCCGGGCCGGAGAGCGCCGCGCCGGGAUCCUCCUCCGGCCACCUGUGGCUGUGGGUGCGGGGAGCCGGCGGGUCCGGGAGGGGCGGCGGGGCGGGCGAGAGCGCCCGUUUGGGGGGCACACCUCCCCGCGGAGUGCCAGCGGCACGGAGGGGGGGUCGUUGUGCCCGGCUCCUCCCUGUCCCCACUGCGGGCCGUGGGAGCCGGGGCGGCCGCGGUGGCGGCGCCGCAAUGUGGGGGCGGGGCGGGGGCGGGCGACGAUCCCGGGCCCCGGCCGCGGGGGCCGGAAAACGCGGGGGUGGGAACAGCGGGGCCGAGGCAGGGAGCGGCGCGUGGGGGGACGCCUGGGGUCGUCCCUUCAGCCCUCCCCACGCACAUUCCCACGCACGCGGACACACUCACGCACACGCACCCCGCCGGGCCGGUGCAGACGUGUCCUUGAAAGCUUCGCAUCUGCACAGUGAAGGACGAGGCCUCGCCGCGGCUGCGGAGCGGGGUCUUCGGCCCCACGUCCCCGCACCCUGGGAGACCCCGAGCUUCAGAGCCGCAGGCGGCCGCGGUCCGUGUCCCGCCCUCACCCCGCUCCCCUCCCCCAGGCCGCCCUGUCCUCCCUCCCCUUCGGCGCGGACCGGGCUGGCGCGGAUCCAGGGCCCGCCCCUGGCCUCCCCCAGCCCCUCAUCGUUGGGGCCCGCGGCCCUGGGGCUGCCAAACUGCGUUUCGCUUUCCUGA